UACGGAGGGAGCUAGCGUUGUUCGGAAUUACUGGGCGUAAAGCGCACGUAGGCGGCUUUGUAAGUUAGAGGUGAAAGCCCGGAGCUCAACUCCGGAAUUGCCUUUAAGACUGCAUCGCUAGAACGUCGGAGAGGUAAGUGGAAUUCCGAGUGUAGAGGUGAAAUUCGUAGAUAUUCGGAAGAACACCAGAGGCGAAGGCGACUUACUGGACGACUGUUGACGCUGAGGUGCGAAAGCGUGGGGAGCAAACAGG
rnacentral:rRNA from 1 species